UCGUAAAAGUGACAGUAACUGCUCUUCAAUACGUUCGGCAGCGUUUGAUAACACGUUUUGGCCAUGGUUGCCAAGUUACAUGCCACUUUAUCUUCAUGGAUGGAGGGCUUUGGAGCAGGCAGACUGCAGGUAUCCAUGAAUAUAUGAAUAUUUUAUUCUAAUAUCAAAUUACUUUUUGUCUCGUGCCCAUCUCACUAACCUGCUCUCAGAAUGAAAGAGGAGAAAGAAAGAGAAGCAGAGGGCGGGGGAGGCUUGGGCGACUGAAGAAAAUGGGGCCAAGUGGUUCUAGAAGAGGAGGGACACAGAGAGAAAGUUGAUGAAAGCUCCACGGAUCCUGUUUCCUUUUAGUGCCCCUUGUUCUCCUCUCCACCAUACAUAACAUAAAGAACGGAUAAGAGGAGGUGAGGUGCUAAGGACACAAACGUGAUGUUUGGAGGGAGGGCGGAUGUAAAGAAGUCUAGGGAACACUAGGAAGGAGUCAUUUUGGGACUAGAUGAAGAGGAAGAGGCUUGCCGGUGCCUGGCUUUGUGUUUGUUUUUCAUUUUAGGGCUUAGAAGAAGGCUGUGUUGCGUAGUCCUUUUUCAGUCUCCCAACAUGUGUGGAGAGAAGAAAUAACUUAUGGAAUAGAGCCUGAAAAAUCGUCACCAUCUGUAGCGAUGAAGUGCCAGUAAGGGAAACUGUUCCCGUGAAGGAUGUUUUGCAUCACCCGUGAGAGCGAGGCAUAAGAGCGCAGCUGUCAAAGUGGAGAACAAGCGACAUUUUGCAUCAAAGAGACUUGUGAUGCCUCGGGAACGACUGCCUUUCAUCGGCUCAUCUGGGAGCAAAACAGGCAAGCCUCCCUUUAGUCCCGCUACUCUCCAGCAUCCGCACCUGACUAAUCGCAAAAAACUCAACCAGCAGUCCCAGACUUCCUCCUCCUC